rnacentral:misc_RNA from 1 species
CCUGGAUAAAGCACGGAGACUUCGAGAGGAUUAACAGAAAGAAAGAGAGAAUCCUGAAAUCUAAGCUAAACCUUCAUCGUUUAGCUUUUAUUUCUCUCUUUCCUUGUUCUCUUUAUCGCUUAUUACCUUCGCAAUCUUCAAUAUUUCAGCUUGCUCCUCCAGAUCGGCGAAUAUCUACCUACACUUCCUCGCCGAUUCCUUUUUAGGGGCGCUUGUCGAUCUUCUUGUAAGAAACUCAACCUCCCCUCCGCCUUCUUCCCUUUUGUGGUUUCAUGUCAUCUUCUUUUACUCACACCAGAUUUUUGUUUUCUGCGAUGUUCUAUCAUUCAAACAAUGUCGGUGAUUUUAUUUCAUUUUUUAUUUCUUUGUCCUUUUUUUUCCCUGGAUCUGUAAUCCUGGUUUUCACCUCAUGUUGGGUAUUGGUAGAAUAGAGGGAUAGAGAAAAAGUGAAAAAUUGUUCCGUUUAGGUUGUGAAGCAUUUUCAGCUUUCUUUCCUAAAAGAAAAACAAAGAAAAGGUUGUUUACAGUUUUGUGAUUUUCUGCAUAUUUUAUGAUGAACUAAGGCUGGUGGCAAAACGGUUCGGUUUGUUUUGAUGAUUGUGUCUACAAUGCUCUGUAAAUUUAUUAUUUGUGAAAAUGCUAAUUUUCUACGCGUUUAUGCUGUAGAAAUGUACAGCCCAUGAUGGGGAACCUUGGACAGCACUCAAGGGUUCCAUUAGAUUGGGAUAACGGAAAUCAUAGUCUCCAGAAUAUUUGAAUUUACUAUGAGAUUUGGGCUCUAUUUGUACAUUGAUUUGAUAUAUAACGGGGUAGUUUAGAUUAGUAGUGCCAAUAAACUUACUACGCAAAUUAUUAGCCUUUAGUGUUAUUUUGUUUGGUAAUGUUAAUUUCACCUUAUAUUUUUUGGAACUCUGAAGUGAUAAUGAAACAUUAAUUUCUCAGGAGGUAUAUAGAGAUGGUGUUCUGGGUUUUUGGCUAUGGUUCAUUGGUGUGGAACCCAGGAUUUGAAUACGAUGAGAAAGUUAUAGGCUUCAUCAAGGAUUAUAGGCGUGUAUUUGAUCUUGCUUGCAUUGAUCACAGAGGUACACCUGAUCGUCCUGCAAGAACUUGCACAUUGGAAAAUUUUGAAGGAGCUGUUUGCUGGGGUGCUGCUUAUUGUGUUCGUGGAGGACCUGAAAAGGAAAGACUGGCAAUGGAGGUAAACAUUUUUAUUGCUUCUGAAACUUCAACCUUGUUUUGAUGAGAAAUGCAUAGCUAGUAAUUAACAUUAUUGAAGGAGGAAUUCAUUACUCAUUAGGUGUGGCAAAAUGGCAUUAUAUUUGUGCAUUUUGCUAAUUAGAAAAAGUGCUGACAGAAGUCUGUAACCUGGAUGUUUAUUUACAUCCCGAUGAUUUGCAUUUUCGCAUGAAUGCAGACUCAUUUUUUCUUUUUUCCCCAGUAUCUGGAGCGGAGAGAAUGUGAAUAUGAUAAAAAAUCCCUGGUAGACUUUUACAAGGUGAGUUGAUGGUUUGUGUUAUUGAAAUUUGAAAUCUCAUGGUUUAAAAACGUCAAUUAAGAUGUAUGUUUGUACUUCUAUGCUGCUUAUUCUUAUUUCAAGUAUUGUGUCUCCGUUAAUCUAGGAAGCGGAUCCAUCAGAGCCUGCUAUAGCAGGAGUCAUAGUGUAAGUUUGCUGCUUGGUGUCCAUUAAUUCAUUCCAUUGUUUUACUGUGUUAGACAGUAACAGGACAGCAGAACUGAUGCAUUUUUUCUCUCGUGCAGUUUCACCUCCACUCCGGAUAAAAUUUCAAACAAGUACUACUUGGGGCCUGCCCCUUUGGAUGAAAUGGCUAGGUAAAUAUGUUGGCGUAUGUCAUUUUCUUUUCAUCUAUAUUAGUUUUUGCACGUGGAGUUGUCCACAAGCUAUCAUCCAUUUACGCAUAUUUACCCUUUCAGGCAAAUUGCGACUGCAUAUGGACCUUGCGGGAACAACAGAGACUAUCUGUUCCUGCUAGAGAAAGCCAUGUAUGAUAUUGGUAAGAUUCAUUUUUUCACACACACACACUAAUCAUGGAGCAUGAGCGUUCAAAGUUAUUGCAUCCUAAAAAGUAUUUAAUUUGUUCCAAAUGCUUGAGCACGAAUUACUGAAGUUUGGGAUUUUGUAAACAGGGCAUGAGGAUGAUAUGGUGAUUGGGCUAGCGAAUGAAGUGAGGAAGGUACUUGGAAUUGUAGGAAAAGGGAUUUUCAAGGAGAUGUUGGCUGGUCCAUCCCACAUUGCACUUAAAGCCCAGAUGGCAUCUCUUCAACUGCGUCCGCUUCCUGAAGCCGUUGCCCUGGACUCCUAAAAAUACAAGACAAAUAACUGAAAGAACACGACAAAGCAGAGCUUAACUAACUUGAAUUUUUUUUUUUUUUUAUCAUUCCUUUCAGUUAGCAAUCUAUCUAGUUCACAAUUCUACUUUUCUAACUUAGCAUAGCAUUCAAUUCAAAACAUCAUUGGUCCAUAGCCAAAUGGUUGAGAAAAAUUGCUUGUAACAGGCUGCCAGUCCUACAAUUUUAAUUUUGAAUUUUUGACCUUGCCAGGGGUCCUUCUGAUAUUUCCUUGCUGGAGUAUGUUUUAAUUGCUUUGGUAGAAAUUUGAUCAUCAUUUGAAUACCCUUCUUAAACAUGGCUGAGAUGGUUCAUUGUAAUUUGUCUCGUUGAAAUUAUUGAGAAUAUAAAGAUGAUAUUG